rnacentral:SRP_RNA from 1 species
GCUGGGUGUGGUGGUGCACACCUGUAGUCCCAGCUACUCGGGAGGCUGAGGCAGGAGAAUCACUUGAACCCAGGAGGCAGAGGUUGCAGUGAGCCGAGAUCAUGCCACUGCAUUCCAGCCUGGGUGACAGAGCGAGACACUGUCUCAA